UACGUAGGGGGCAAGCGUUACCCGGAUUCACUGGGCGUAAAGCGCGUGUAGGCGGCUGGCCAAGCGUGGUGUGAAAUCUCCGGGCUCAACCCGGAAACUGCACUGCGAACUGGCCUGGCUGGAGUGCAGGAGAGGGAUGCGGAAUUCACGGUGUAGCGGUGAAAUGCGCAGAUAUCAUUUGGAACGCCAAUGGUGAAAACAGGUCGCUGGGAGUGUGCUGACGCUGAGACACGAAAGCCAGGGGAGCAAACGGG
rnacentral:rRNA from 1 species